GUCCGCGGCCAAGGUCGUAGGGCGAACGGUAGGCAAAUCCGCCGUUCAUGUGCCUGAGAACUGAUGGGGAGACGAUUGAGUCGAAGUGAGUGAUCCUAUGCUGUCGAGAAAAGCAUCUAGCGAUGUUUCAGAGCCGCCCGUACCCCAAACCGACUCAGGUGGUCAGGUAGAGAAUACCAAGGUGAUCGAGUGAAUCAUGGUUAAGGAACUCGGCAAAAUGCCCCCGUAACUUCGGGAGAAGGGGGGCCGGAUUCGUCAGUGGACUUGCUCCACGAAGCGUUGAAGGCCGCAGAGACCAGGCCCAAGCGACUGUUUACUAAAAACACAGGUCCGUGCUAAGUCGAAAGACGCCGUAUACGGACUGACUCCUGCCCGGUGCUGGAAGGUUAAGGGGACGUGUUAGCGCAAGCGAAGCACAGAACUUAAGCCCCAGUAAACGGCGGUGGUAACUAUAACCAUCCUAAGGUAGCGAAAUUCCUUGUCGGGUAAGUUCCGACCUGCACGAAUGGAGUAACGACUUGGGCGCUGUCUCAACCAUGAACUCGGCGAAAUUGCACUACGAGUAAAGAUGCUCGUUACGCGCGGCAGGACGGAAAGACCCCGGGACCUUUACUAUAGUUUGGUAUUGGUGUUUGGUUCGAUUUGUGUAGCAUAGGUGGGAGACUGUGAAGCUCGGACGCCAGUUCGAGUGGAGUCAUCGUUGAAAUACCACUCUGGUCGUACUAGAUAUCUAACCUAGGUCCGUGAUCCGGAUCAGGGACAGUGCCUGAUGGGUAGUUUAACUGGGGCGGUUGCCUCCCAAAGAGUAACGGAGGCGCCCAAAGGUUCCCUCAGCCUGGUUGGCAAUCAGGUUUCGAGUGUAAGUGCACAAGGGAGCUUGACUGUGAGAGUGACAACUCGAGCAGGGACGAAAGUCGGGACUAGUGACCCGGCGCUGGCAUGUGGAAGCGGCGUCGCUCAACGGAUAAAAGGUACCCCGGGGAUAACAGGCUGAUCUUCCCCAAGAGUCCAUAUCGACGGGAUGGUUUGGCACCUCGAUGUCGGCUCGUCGCAUCCUGGGGCCGUAGCAGGUCCCAAGGGUUGGGCUGUUCGCCCAUUAAAGCGGCACGCGAGCUGGGUUUAGAACGUCGUGAGACAGUUCGGUCCCUAUCCGCCGCGCGCGUAGGAAACUUGAGAAAGGCUGUCCCUAGUACGAGAGGACCGGGAUGGACGAACCUCUGGUGUGCCAGUUGUUCUGCCAAGAGCACGGCUGGUUGGCUACGUUCGGAAGUGAUAACCGCUGAAAGCAUCUAAGCGGGAAGCACGUUUCAAGAUGAGGUUUCCCACUGGUUUACCAGGUAAGGCCCCCAGCAGAACACUGGGUUGAUAGGCCGGAAGUAGAAGUGCAGCAAUGCAUGGAGCUGACCGGUACUAAUAGGCCGAGGGCUUGUUUCU
rnacentral:rRNA from 2 species